rnacentral:rRNA from 1 species
UACGAAGGGGGCUAGCGUUGUUCGGAAUUACUGGGCGUAAAGCGCACGUAGGCGGAUCGAUCAGUCAGGGGUGAAAUCCCAGAGCUCAACUCUGGAACUGCCUUUGAUACUGGGUGUCUUGAGUGUGAUAGAGGUAUGUGGAACUCCGAGUGUAGAGGUGAAAUUCGUAGAUAUUCGGAAGAACACCAGUGGCGAAGGCGACAUACUGGAUCAUUACUGACGCUGAGGCUCGAAAGCGUGGGGAGCAAACAGG